rnacentral:misc_RNA from 1 species
GCCUCGUUCAUGUAGAAAAAACAGCCUCAACAAUGACAUGCUUCUUCUUAGGAUAUCCCAUCCCAACCAUGUGGCUAAGAUAAGCUCUCCCAUCCUUCACAGUUGCUGCAGUGGCCAACCGAUGUGCUGGCCCUUUAAACUUGGCGACAACAGAAGCAGUCUCCCACCCAUCAGAGCUCUCCACUAAUCUCCCUGAAGGAUUUCCUGCAACCACGAGCUUAGUAGGCGACAAUAACUCCAGACCAUCUCCAAAUGACAGUGAUCCUUCAGUUACCUUAAUUAACUUCACAUCAUCAUCCUUGGCUAGAUCAAUCUUAUACAAAUUGCCAGUGAAAGUAUGAAUGACGAUCAAGAAACCAUCUGGGUGGUAAACAAUUCCAUUAAGCGCAACCAGGUUUUUGUACCACUGUUUUUGAAUGAAGAGUGGACUUCUGAUAAUAGAUAGGAAUUCGCCAUCCUUCCCAACCUUCCAAAUUUUACUGGUUUUUGCAUCAGUAAUAUAUGCAUUACCUUCUGCAUCAACUGCAACAUCAUCCGCAAAGGAUUUCUC